rnacentral:rRNA from 1 species
CACCUUUGUUGCUUUGGCGGGCCCGCCUCGGCCACCGGCUCCGGCUGGUGAGCGCCCGCCAGAGGACCCCAAACUCUGAAAUUUAGUGUCGUCUGAGUACUAUAUAAUAGUUAAAACUUUCAACAACGGAUCUCUUGGUUCUGGCAUCGAUGAAGAACGCAGCGAAAUGCGAUAAGUAAUGUGAAUUGCAGAAUUCAGUGAAUCAUCGAAUCUUUGAACGCACAUUGCGCCCCUUGGUAUUCCGGGGGGCAUGCCUGUUCGAGCGUCAUUACAACCCUCAAGCUCUGCUUGGUAUUGGGCGUCCCCGGCGACGGGGUGCCCUAAAAUCAGUGGCGGUGCCGUCUGGCUCUAAGCGUAGUAAAUCUCUCGCUCUGGAUGCCCGGUGGAUGCUCGCCAGAACCCCCCAUUUUUACAGGUUGACCUCGGAUCAGGUAGGGAUACCCGCUGAACUUAAGCAUAUA